UGAGAUGCAGCUCAGUGAUAGAGUGCUUGCCUAGCAUAAGCAAGGCCCUGGGCUCAAUCCCAAGCACUGCAG
rnacentral:tRNA from 1 species